AGAGUUUGAUCCUGGCUCAGAACGAACGCUGGCGGCGUGGAUAAGACAUGCAAGUCGAACGGUUGGCAAGUGGUAGCAAUACGACUUGUCGAUAGUGGCGAAAGGGUGCGUAACACGUGGGCAAUUUGCCGUGAAGUCUGGAAUAACCUGCCGAAAGGUAGGCUAAUACUGGAUGUGGUCGACUAGGGGAAUCCUUAGUCGACUAAAGGUGGGGAUCUUCGGACCUGCCGCUUCAUGAUGAGCCCGCGGCCUAUCAGCUUGUUGGUGAGGUAAAGGCUCACCAAGGCUAAGACGGGUAACUGGUCUGAGAGGACGGUCGGUCACACUGGAACUGAGACACGGUCCAGACACCUACGGGUGGCAGCAGUCGAGAAUCAUUCACAAUGGGCGAAAGCCUGAUGGUGCGACGCCGCGUGGGGGAAGAAGUGCUUCGGUAUGUAAACCCCUGUCAUCUGCGAGCAAACCUUUUCGGUUAACACCUGGAAAGCUGAUAGUAGCAGAAGAGGAAGGGACGGCUAACUCUGUGCCAGCAGCCGCGGUAAUACAGAGGUCCCAAGCGUUGUUCGGAUUCACUGGGCGUAAAGGGUGCGUAGGCGGCAUGGUAAGUUUGAUGUGAAAGCUCCGAGCUCAACUCGGAAAUUGCAUUUGAAAACUGCCAAGCUCGAGGAUCGGAGGGGAGAGUGGAAUUCUUGGUGUAGCAGUGAAAUGCGUAGAUAUCAAGAGGAACACCAGUGGCGAAGGCGACUCUCUGGACGAUUCCUGACGCUGAGGCACGAAGGCUAGGGGAGCAAACAGGAUUAGAUACCCUGGUAGUCCUAGCAGUAAACGGUGUGCACUUGCUGUAGGCGGAUUCGACCCCGUCUGUGGCGGAGCUAACGUGUUAAGUGCACCGCCUGGGGAGUACGGUCGCAAGAUUAAAACUCAAAGAAAUUGACGGGGGCCUGCACAAGCGGUGGAGUAUGUGGCUUAAUUCGAUGCAACGCGAAGAACCUUACCUGGCCUUGACAUGCAAGUAGUAGAAACCUGAAAGGGUGACGAGGUAGCAAUACCAGCUUGCACAGGUGCUGCAUGGCUGUCGUCAGCUCGUGUCGUGAGAUGUUGGGUUAAGUCCCGCAACGAGCGCAACCCCCAUGUUCUGUUGCCACUCGAACGUGAGUUCGAAGCACUCUGAACAGACUGCCUCAUUUAAAUGAGGAGGAAGGUGGGGAUGACGUCAAGUCAGUAUGGCCCUUACGGCCAGGGCUGCACACGUACUACAAUGCCCGGCACAAAGGGAUGCAAUACCGCGAGGUGGAGCGAAUCCCAUAAAACCGGGCCCAGUUCGGAUUGUAGUCUGCAACUCGACUACAUGAAGCCGGAAUCGCUAGUAAUGGCGCAUCAGCUACGGCGCCGUGAAUACGUUCCCAGGCCUUGUACACACCGCCCGUCACAUCAUGAAAGCCGGUCAUACCCGAAGUCGCCGAGCUAACCCGCAAGGGAGGCAGGCGCCGAAGGUAAGACUGGUGAUUGGGAUGAAGUCGUAACAAGGUAACCGU
rnacentral:rRNA from 1 species